GACUAACAUAACAAUUAAACUAAAAAAAAUAUGCUAAAAUCCUAAUUAACAUGAAAUAAACUAGAAAAAUAGUAAAUAUAACUAGAAAGUAACAAAAGGAAAGCAAUAAAGUUCCUCCCCCACACUUGAACGAAACAUUGUCCUCAAUGUUUCGAUCAAAGUGGGAAAAGGAAAAAGAACAUGGAUAAGAUAUAUGAAGAUAUCAGUGCUAGCCACGCCCUCGGCCUUGGCCUUGGUUCCAACCGCCUCGUUCAUCAUGCCUAGCCCGACCAUAUCCAUCACACCCAUGCCAGCCCUCAAACUGGACUUACAAGCUAGUCAAUAGUGCAUAUAACUAGUUAUUACAAUGAUCUUCAUCCGCUUGUGAAAAUUGGAGGUGAUCUAGCAUCUCUUGGUGGCGGUGUUCCAUGGAGUUCUGAAAGGUUUUCCAUUGUCGGGCCUGCUCCACCAUGGUGGUCUGUGAUGGUUGAAUCUAUUGGAUAUUAUCGACCAUGGUGUUCUAUAAUGCUCUAAUGUGACACAUACGCCCCAUCAAUAAGGCAUGUGUAACCUAGAUCAAGUAAACAUUAUACAUCACGUAUGUUCUAAAAGCUUGCAUCUGUUCCAUCAUCAUUAUUUAUUGUGUUUGCAUUUGCUGAAUAUGUUGCAUCAUCUUUGUUUGCUGGAUAUGCAUGGCUGAGACGGGGUUGUCCUGUUCAACAUCAAUGGAAUUUUGGGCAUGCACCUCGCGAAGAAUAUCAUCAAGUGUAAAGUGUGCGGCUUCAGUAAAAGUACCUGCAAAAGUGUUAGAGAAAAACGAUAUGGUGUGUGCAGGUGAAGCAAGAAUAUGGGGGGAAUGAUGUGGCAGUGGCUUGUGUAUAAGCGAGUCUCGCUCUCUAUGGUCAUACUUAUCAUCGGUGGCACCAUGAGCAUUGACAUUCCGAGGAAUUUCCAUUCAGUACCGACAUUCAAGUUAUAAAUCCAAUUAGCCCUGUUUUUCACAUUUGUGCGGUCCAGGUAUG
rnacentral:lncRNA from 1 species